GGCGGCUUGCCUAUACAUGCAAGUCGAGCGGACUUACAAAAGCUUGCUUUUGUAAGUUAGCGGCGGACGGGUGAGUAACACGUGGGCAACCUGCCCUUGAGACUGGGAUAACUUCGGGAAACCGGAGCUAAUACCGGAUAAUAUAAGGAACCUCCUGGUUCCUUAUUGAAAGAUGGUUUCGGCUAUCACUUAAGGAUGGGCCCGCGGCGCAUUAGCUAGUUGGUGAGGUAACGGCUCACCAAGGCGACGAUGCGUAGCCGACCUGAGAGGGUGAUCGGCCACACUGGGACUGAGACACGGCCCAGACUCCUACGGGAGGCAGCAGUAGGGAAUCUUCCACAAUGGACGAAAGUCUGAUGGAGCAACGCCGCGUGAGUGAUGAAGGCCUUCGGGUCGUAAAGCUCUGUUGUUAGGGAAGAACAAGUGCGAGAGUAACUGCUCGCACCUUGACGGUACCUAACCAGAAAGCCACGGCUAACUACGUGCCAGCAGCCGCGGUAAUACGUAGGUGGCAAGCGUUAUCCGGAAUUAUUGGGCGUAAAGCGCGCGCAGGUGGUUUCUUAAGUCUGAUGUGAAAGCCCACGGCUCAACCGUGGAGGGUCAUUGGAAACUGGGGAACUUGAGUGCAGAAGAGGAAAGU
rnacentral:rRNA from 1 species